rnacentral:rRNA from 1 species
CUUUUUUUAAAAGCACUUCUGAGCAACGUCGGACAUUCUUCGUACCACCAGCGCUUAGUGGCUGUGUCUCGCGUAAAAAAAGGGGGAAAAGAAAGGCCCGGAAAAGAGGGGAAAAAGAGGCGCGAAUAUACGCGCGGCGAGAGGGGCGCAUUAUAAUAUUGAGCUUAAAGCGUGCGUAGCCGGUCGUGGAAGUCCUUGGAAUUCCCACAAGCUCAUUUUUCAAUUUCCGGGAGACCUGAGGUCCGGGACCGGAAGAGUUUCUAUUUCUCUCCGGGGUAGGGGGAAUCUCUUUAAAUCUCGGAGGGCCACCGGGGGGAAGCGUCCAAUAAGACGGAAUCCAAGGGUAGGGAACAAAGCCCUGGGCCCACCGGUAUUAGACACCCUGUUAUCCCGGGGGAACGCCUGCGGUUUGGUGUCGAAGGCCCUAAAAGAAUUUCGGGUGCCGAAUGAAAAUUUUAGACCUGCCGCUGGGGAGACACGGCCAAAGAUUAAAAAAAAAAUUGGGGGGCAGCCCCCGAAGGGGGAGGCUGUGUUUAUUUGAUUCCACCGCGGACACUCCCCAGGGGGGGGUAUAUUGAAGGUAGUUCGGCACCUUUCCCUAGAUUUUGGGAGGGGGGGCAUGGCGUCGGUCUUUCGACCGGGGGGGGUGCUUUAAUUAAAAUAAAAACGAACCCUCCUGGUAAUAGUUGGCGUUUCGGAAGGAACGGGCCUUUUUUGGGACCCCCCGCUUAAAUGGGAAAGGAACGCAACGGGAGGGAGUUCCCCCGACCCUGGGCUAACCGCCCUUAAAAGACCAGGAAAUGGUUCAAUGCAAAGGCAAAGGUAAUACAAAAACCCCCAAAAUCUAAUAUGAAGGCAUAAAAUCGCCCUUAUUAAGCUGGUUCGGUAAAAUCCCGUUAAAUCACACGGGGGAAUUUUAUUUUUUUUUGUUAAGGGAGGGGAAAUCGUUAACCUCGGGGAUCACGCCAUUGGGGGGGGUAUUUCUAGGCUUGGCAAAAGGGGGCAAAGGGGGCCGGAAAAAGAGACCCCCCCCCCAAAAAAAAAAAGGGGGCCGGGGGAGGGGCCCCACUAUCUCGGAGAGAC